GGGGUUGUGGCUCAGUGGAAGAGCGCUUGCCUAGCAUGUGCAAGGCCCUGAGUUCAAUCCUCAGCACCA
rnacentral:tRNA from 1 species